rnacentral:rRNA from 1 species
AGCUCCAAUAGCAUAUAUUAAAGUUGUUGCGGUUAAAAAGCUCGUAGUUGGAUCUCGACGCACGGCCAACGCCCUGCUUCGGCGGGUCACGUUGUGCCUGUGUGUCUUCAACGGCCGAACCCGGGUGUCUUUCAUCGGACGCCCGGUCUAGGUCGACACGUUUACUUUGAAUAAUUCAAAGUGCUCAAAGCGGGCGACUUGUCGCUUGUAUGCUCAUGCAUGGAAUAAUAGAAUAGGUCUUCGGAUCUGUUCUGUUGGUCUUCGGACUCCGAGGAAAUGAUUAAGAGGGACUGCCGGGGGCAUUCGUAUGGCUCGGAUAGAGGUGAAAUUCUUUGACCCUUGCCAGACGGCCGAAAGCGAAAGCAUUUGCCAAGAAUGUUUUCA